ACUCCUUGUGCAACGCCUUCCAGUGGAUCCAGUACGGCAGCAUCAACAACGUCUUCACGCGCUUCUACGGCGUGAGCGCCUUCGCCAUCGACUGGCUUUCCAUGAGCUACAUGCUCAUCUACAUCCCCCUGCUCUUCCCCGUCGCCUGGCUGCUGGACAAGAGGGGCCUGCGCCUCAUCGCCCUGGCCGGCUCGGCCCUCAAUGCCAUGGGUGCCUGGGUGAAGCUGGGCAGUCUGAAGCCGCACCUCUUCCCCGUCACUGUCCUGGGACAGGUCAUCUGUGGCUUGGCCCAGGUCUUCAUCCUGGGCAUGCCCUCACGCAUCGCCUCGGUCUGGUUUGGCUCCCAGGAGGUCUCCACCGCCUGCUCCAUUGCGGUAUUUGGGAACCAGCUUGGCAUUGCUGUAGGCUUUCUGGUCCCUCCAGUUCUGAUCCCUAAUGUGGAGGAUGUGGAGAAGCUGGCCUACCACAUCAGCAUCAUGUUCUUCAUGACUGCAGGUGUGGCAUCAGCCCUGUUCAUCCUGGUCAUUAUAGUCUUCAAAGAGAAGCCCCCAAACCCUCCAAGUCGAGCUCAGGCCCUGAUCCAGUCCAGACCAGCUGCAGAGUAUUCCUACGUGCAGUCAAUCCUCCGCCUGCUCCGCAAUGCCAACUUUUUGCUGCUUAUGGUCACUUAUGGUCUGAAUGUAGGUUGUUUCUACGCCUUGUCCACUCUGCUGAACCGCAUGGUGAUCCAUCACUACCCAGGGGAGGAGGUGAAUGCUGGCAGGAUUGGACUCACCAUUAUACUGUCGGGGAUGGCUGGGGCUCUGAUCUCUGGCAUCUGGUUGGACAAAACCAAAACCUACAAGCAAACAACGCUUGUUGUCUAUAUCAUGUCUCUGGUGGGAAUGAUAGUCUAUACCUUCACUCUGAGCCUGGACCACCUCUGGGUGGUCUUUGUGACCGCUGGGUUGCUGGGGUUUUUCAUGACAGGAUACCUUCCCCUGGGCUUUGAGUUUGCUGCAGAGUUGACAUACCCAGAAUCAGAAGGAACAUCAUCAGGGCUCCUUAAUGUCUCAGCACAGAUUUUUGGUAUUGCCUUGACCAUUAGCCAAGGGCAAAUCAUGGAUCGCUUUGGGACAAAGGCAGGAAACCUCUUGCUUUGUUCUGUCCUGUUCCUGGGGACCAUUAUGACAGCGUUCAUUAAGGCUGAUCUCCGAAGACAACAGGCCAAUUUGGAAAAUGAACAGACAAGACUCCAAGGCAGCAAUCAGAUCAUGGAUUAUGGGACUGUAGCUUGUAAAUCUAACCCCAUCAAUUGCCACUCCUGCUCACUAGCUUAUACACACCAAGGUAGGAGAAUUGCACCAAUCUACUUUGAAUGUUCCCAGGGUGUCACAGGCAUGAAGCCAAUGGCAUUUCUGGGGUGACUGCAAUGGCUGUAGAGUAUCAAGAAUCUUUCUGGUCUUCUCAGGUACUCAGCUGAGAGGAAGGACUAGACAGCCUCCAAGAACAGAGUGGAGAUCCCCCUAGACUCAUGUCAGACAGAGAUGUAGGGAUUCAGCUAGGUGCAGCAAAGCAAAGCCUGGUGCUGGAGCAGAUUAAGAACUUAACUGUCAGUCAUUUGUUAGGGAGAGGAGGUGCAGACAUUUGGAGUCACUUCUCUAUCAUUUUCACAGUCCAGAUUCUUGGCUGGAGGUGAUACCAGGAACCCUUUAAAGAAUUGGUUUUGGGGUGGUAUGCUUUACUACUCGCUGUUCUCUGUGCCACAGGCUGGUCUACUAAGUUAUCCAUGCUACCCUUUGCUUUUCAAGGUGUGAUAGACUGUGUGUAUCAUACAGUGCCACAGCCAACAGGACUAACAGGCAAAGCAGAGUGAGUCAAUUGGGAAAAUCAGCCCUAACCUGCUAAGAUUAGGGCAUGGUCUGCAGGGAUCAUGAAGCUGCUAUACUUUGAUGGAAGUGUGAGGAAAGGUCCCAUGGGCAGGGAGAGUGUUGGUAAAUAGAGUUAUAUUCAGCUGGCAUCAGGUCACCAGUGCUGUGCCCCAAGGCUCAGUAUUGGGGACAGUCCUGUUUAAUGCCUUUCUUGAUGACCUGUAUGAGGGGAUCAAGUCCACCCUUAGUCAGUUUGCAGACCAAACACCAAGUUGGGCAGGAGUAUUGCUGGAGGAUUGGAAGGCUCUGCAGAGGGACCUGGAUAGGCUGGAUCCAUGGGUUGAGAUAAUUUAUGAGGUUCAACAAGGUGAGUGCUGGAUCCUGCAGCUGGGUCCCAACAGCCUCAAGCAGUGCUACAGGCUUGGAGAAGAGCAGCUGAAAAAUUGCCCAUUGGAAAAAGAUCUGGGAAUGCUUGUCAGCAGCCACUGAACACGAGCCAGUGUGUGUCCAGGUAGUCAAGAGGGCCAGUGGCAUCCUGGCUUAUGUCAGAAAUAGUGUGGCCAGCAGGAUUAGGGAAGGGUUUGUCCACCUGUACUUGGUGAGGCUGCACCUCAAGUCCUGUGUCCAAUUUUGGGCCCCUCACUACAAGAAGGACAUUGAGAUGCUGGGGCAUAUCCAGAGAAGGGCAAUGGAGCUGGUGAAGGAUCUGGAGCACAAGUCCUGUGAGGAGCACCUGAAGGAGCUGGGGCUGUUUAGCCUGGAGAAAAGGAGGCUCAAGGGAGACCUUUUUACUCUCUGCAACAACCUGAAGGGAGGUCAUAGUGAGCUGGGGGUCAGUCUCCUCUCCCAAGUAACCAGCGACAGGACAAGAGGAAACAACCUCAGGUUACACCAUGGGAGAUUUACAUUGAGUAUUGGGAAAAUUUCUUCACUGAAAAGGUUGUCAAGCACUGGAACAGGCUGCUUAGGGAAAUGUUAGAGUCACCAUCCCUGGAGGUAUUUAUAAGACACGUAGAUGCAGUUUUUAGGGACAUGGUUUAGUGGUGGACUUGGCAGUGCUGGGCAAAUGGUUGGACUUGGUGAUCUUAAGAGUCUUCUUCAGCUUAAACAAUUCUGUGGCUGUUGCAAGGAGAAGACUCGGAGUCAGUUGUGAGCCUUCAGAGCACGCAGAGCUGUGGAGUUGUGCAGAUCUCACUUUCCAUUGAAGCACUCUACCAUUGGCUAUGUAGCAGUUUUUCCUCUAUUGGUGCCCUCAUCUGCUGUGGUUAUAAUUAAACAAGUGUUGCAGUUAGUAGAUUAAAUGAACCUAAUGUCCUUGUGUACACCUUGUCCUCUAUUAAUUAAGCUGUAAUGUGGUCCCAACAAUCAUCCCCACUUUUGUCUCUGCCUCAGUUCCCAGAGCUCCAGCUGGGUUAGCUUUCUGUAUCUCUGGAUACUUGGAUCAUUGGAUCAAAUGCCUGUUUCACGUGACAAUGAGGCUGUUUGUGUGCUGCCUUUGUUGUAAAUGCAUCUGAAGACAUUCCAGAGUUGUGCCUUAAGAUUUCGUAGUAGUGUCAGUUGAUUGAGCAUGCACAUUAUACUCAUGAAUAUGCUGUGUACUGCUUGUGCUCAUUUGCUUGUGAUUUGCAGCAUCCAUGCAAACCUUUUUGUACUGUUCCUUUGCAUUAAGAAAAAGUACCUUUGCUGAUCUUCCAUGGUUUGUUUAGGACAAGUGUCCACCCUCAGUAGCUUAUUGGAUUCUGUUGGAAGCUGUACCAUGCUUAGCCUCUAGUGAAAUACUGCGAAUAAAAAAAUGCUGGAGUUUUGUGUAGUAGGCACAAACAAUGUGUACCCAUUCUCUGCUUCCUAAACUUCCCUACUCCAUUUCUGUGUGGCAGGCAGCCUUCUCCUGUCCCAAAGCCAUAGGUAGGCCAUCUGUAUGCCCUUUUCCAGUACUGUGACUCACAGCUGUGAGAGAAGCUUUCCUUUCCAAAGGUGGUGAAGCCCUGCAGACUGUCUGAUCUAAAUCUCUGCUCCUAUAGCUCCACAGCAGAUGACUGGUGCUGAAACCCCAGAGGUGCUUGGGGAACCUGGUCUGAGUUGCUUGAGUGCUUCCAUGGUGCAUUCUGGUGGAGUUUCUGAAGUCUAAGUGUGGAUUUCCCCUUAUUCCUACCUCUUGCACCACUUCAUGCACCCCCCCCCCACCCUUCCUGCUUGUUGAAGUUCCCUCUUUGCACUUCCUGGCUUUUGCUUUCAGACAUGUCUUUGAUGCUUUCCUUAUCUCACUCUCUGCUUUGGGAUAUUGCUGCUGACUUCUGUAAAACCUUGUCACCUACAGAUUGUGUAAGAGCCUACUCAAAAUGAGACUGUUUCCUAUCUCUUCCUUCCAUGCUGCCUGGAUUUCUCUUGAACUGCACUGGGGAUGUGAAUCUCUUUCCUCUGCCUCAGAUAUCAGUCUUGCCUUACAAAAGUGUUGCCAGAAGCCUACACUAAUCCCAUAGUCCUUGAGGAAUCACGGCUGUGAAAUCAAGGGGUGGCAAAGCUGGG